CCAAUAGCGUAUAUUAAAGUUGUUGCAGUUAAAAAGCUCGUAGUUGAAUUUCGGGACUAAUAUGUCGGUCGUGCCUCGGUACGCACUGGCUUAUUGGUUUCUCCUUUCUGAAGAACCAUGAUGUCAUUUAUUUGGUGUCGUGGGGAAUCAGGACUGUUACUUUGAAAAAAUUAGAGUGUUUAAAGCAGGCUCACGCUUGAAUACAUUAGCAUGGAAUAAUGAAAUAGGACGUUUGAUUCUAUUUUGUUGGUUUCUAGGAUCGACGUAAUGAUUAAUAGGGAUAGUUGGGGGCAUUAGUAUUCAAUUGUCAGAGGUGAAAUUCUUGGAUUUAUUGAAGACUAACUACUGCGAAAGCAUUUGCCAAGGAUGUUUUCAUUAAUCAAGAACGAAAGUUAGGGGAUCGAAGACGAUCAGAUACCGUCGUAGUCUUAACCAUAAACUAUGCCGACUAGGGAUCGGAUGAUGUUAAUUUUUUAAUGACUCAUUCGGCGCCUUACG
rnacentral:rRNA from 1 species